UAGAAACGGCAUUUGAAAAGGGCAUUGAAAGAUGUUAGAUUAGCUCAUUAAGCUAGAUGUCCAAAAAACAGAUUCCUUGUAGCUGGAACCGAUGGGAUCAUUAGUUUGUAGGGAGAGAUUGCAUUUGAAUUGGAGGAGGUUAGCAGGCCACGGGCCUUGACGCUGUGGUACACAGAUUCUGAACGUUUUGCAGAAAGUCCUGGGAAGGCACUGGAGAGUAGUCCGGCCUGGGCGAUGAGGCUUAGUUAUAAAUUUGUUAGGCCGAUUUGGUGGGGAAGUGAUCCUAGGGCUGAAGUGGGGGCUAGGGCUGAAGUGGGGGCGAGUCUGGCACUCAGACCUGCGCAUCCCACCCGCCCCCUUCCCUUUUCAGAGAUUCAGGCCGGCCGACCUCACCGAGCGCACCCAGGUGACUAUAGGUCUCCCGGAUCACGUCCCAGCACACCGGCCUCGGCGGGGGGGGAGACACCCCCAUUCCUCAGGGAAGAAAUACGCGGCUACCUCCGCGAAAUUCUCGGCCCUCGGUCUUAUCACCUUUCUUCUUCUGGUCCGGCCUCUACGAGCCCCUCAGCAGGGAGCCGGGAACAGGGCCAGGGACCCAGUGGCCCCCCCACCCCCGCACAAGGAAAGAGACGACCCAGGAUUCCGCGUCCAGGAAGCUGGUUCUUCCCGGCCUAGGCGGCCGGAAGUAGCCUCGGGUGGGGCCGCGCUAGGACGGCUAGGUCGGUUACGCGAACUCGGUGGUUCCACGACCGAGAAAAUGAAGGCGCCCUCAAACAAGAUGGUGGCAUUCCAGCAUCUUUCAAUUUUAGGGAGAAGCAUUUAACAGCGUCACUAUGGGUCUGGUAUUGAUGACCUGGUUUAUUUCGCCCUCGAGCCGUCUUCUGCUUUCCGCAAGCUGCUUAGGAACGCCUCUUGCCCAGAGUUAAGAUGGCCCCACCCGCUUCGACGUCCGUGCUCAGAUUUUAUUUAUUCAUGAGAGACACAGAGAGAAAGAGAGGCAGAGACACAGGCAGAGGGAGAAGCAGACUCCAUGCAGGGAGCCCGACGUGGGACUCGAUCCCGGGUCUUCAGGAUCAUGCCCUGGGCUGAAGGCAGGCGCUAAACCAGUGAGCCACCCAGGGAUCCCCCACCCCACCCUUCUCAAAAGUCAAAAGUAAGCUCUAAAA